GACAGAGGUGCCAAGCGUUAGGCGGAAUCACUGGGCUUAAAGCGUGUGUAGGCGGAUCGUUAAGUGCUUUGUGAAAUCCCCCGGCUCAACCGGGGAACUGCUUGGCAUACUGGCGAUCUUGAGCUGCCUAGGGGUCACUGGAACAAACGGUGGAGCGGUGAAAUGCGUAGAUAUCGCUUGGAACGCCAAAGGUGAAAACAGGUUGCUGGGAAUGUGCCGACGCUGAGACACGAAAGCCAGGGGAGCAAACGGG
rnacentral:rRNA from 1 species